AUUUAUAAGAAUAUGAUGUUGGUUCAGAUUAAGCGCUAAAUAAGGACAUGACACAUGCGAAUCAUACGUUUAUUAUUGAUAAGAUAAUAAAUAUGUGGUGUAAACGUGAGUAAUUUUAUUAGGAAUUAAUGAACUAUAGAAUAAGCUAAAUACUUAAUAUAUUAUUAUAAAAAAAUAAUUUAUAUAAUAAAAAGGAUAUAUAUAUAAUAUAUAUUUAUCUAUAGUCAAGCCAAUAAUGGUUUAGGUAGUAGGUUUAUUAAGAGUUAAACCUAGCCAACGAUCCAUAAUCGAUAAUGAAAGUUAGAACGAUCACGUUGACUCUGAAAUAUAGUCAAUAUCUAUAAGAUACAGCAGUGAGGAAUAUUGGACAAUGAUCGAAAGAUUGAUCCAGUUACUUAUUAGGAUGAUAUAUAAAAAUAUUUUAUUUUAUUUAUAAAUAUUAAAUAUUUAUAAUAAUAAUAAUAAUAAUAUAUAUAUAUAAAUUGAUUAAAAAUAAAAUCCAUAAAUAAUUAAAAUAAUGAUAUUAAUUACCAUAUAUAUUUUUAUAUGGAUAUAUAUAUUAAUAAUAAAAUUAAUUUAUUAUUAUUAAUAAUAUAUUUUAAUAGUCCUGACUAAUAUUUGUGCCAGCAGUCGCGGUAACACAAAGAGGGCGAGCGUUAAUCAUAAUGGUUUAAAGGAUCCGUAGAAUGAAUUAUAUAUUAUAAUUUAGAGUUAAUAAAUAUAAUUAAAGAAUUAUAAUAGUAAAGAUGAAAUAAUAAUAAUAAUUAUAAGACUAAUAUAUGUGAAAAUAUUAAUUAAAUAUUAACUGACAUUGAGGGAUUAAAACUAGAGUAGCGAAACGGAUUCGAUACCCGUGUAGUUCUAGUAGUAAACUAUGAAUACAAUUAUUUAUAAUAUAUAUUAUAUAUAAAUAAUAAAUGAAAAUGAAAGUAUUCCACCUGAAGAGUACGUUAGCAAUAAUGAAACUCAAAACAAUAGACGGUUACAGACUUAAGCAGUGGAGCAUGUUAUUUAAUUCGAUAAUCCACGACUAACCUUACCAUAUUUUGAAUAUUAUAAUAAUUAUUAUAAUUAUUAUAUUACAGGCGUUACAUUGUUGUCUUUAGUUCGUGCUGCAAAGUUUUAGAUUAAGUUCAUAAACGAACAAAACUCCAUAUAUAUAAUUUUAAUUAUAUAUAAUUUUAUAUUAUUUAUUAAUAUAAAGAAAGGAAUUAAGACAAAUCAUAAUGAUCCUUAUAAUAUGGGUAAUAGACGUGCUAUAAUAAAAUGAUAAUAAAAUUAUAUAAAAUAUAUUUAAUUAUAUUUAAUUAAUAAUAUAAAACAUUUUAAUUUUUAAUAUAUUUUUUUAUUAUAUAUUAAUAUGAAUUAUAAUCUGAAAUUCGAUUAUAUGAAAAAAGAAUUGCUAGUAAUACGUAAAUUAGUAUGUUACGGUGAAUAUUCUAACUGUUUCGCACUAAUCACUCAUCACGCGUUGAAACAUAUUAUUAUCUUAUUAUUUAUAUAAUAUUUUUUAAUAAAUAUUAAUAAUUAUUAAUUUAUAUUUAUUUAUAUCAGAAAUAAUAUGAAUUAAUGCGAAGUUGAAAUACAGUUACCGUAGGGGAACCUGCGGUGGGCUUAUAAAUAUC
rnacentral:ncRNA from 1 species